rnacentral:lncRNA from 1 species
CCCAGCAGUCAUUUUCUUCAUAGAGGGACAAGUGCAGAAUCGUGAAGGGGAAGCUCAGAUGAUGGUCCCGUCCAGGAGGAUGCAGUCUUCCCACCCUCCUCUGCUUUGAUGCCUGAACUUGAAGGACCGCUCUCAGUACUCGCUCUGCACUUUGCCUCCCAACCUCCUGCUUUGCUGCAGGACCCCACGGAGCACAGCCCUGAAAUGAGCCUUGCACAUACAAACAGUGAACCCAUGGAAAAGAAGGAGUGACCCAUGAAGGAGCGGAGACGCCAGAGCUGCAGGGGAGAGGCUGCCUGGGAAGUCAAAUGAGGGCAGAAGGCAUCAGCCUUUCCAGGAAAGAACCUGUCCUUGCACAUUUCCUCAUGUCUGGGCUUCAAUAUCAUGAUUAGGAGCACAUGGUGAGAAAACGGACAGAAGAUGGGGCUAAGCAGUGGGUGCCCAAUUCUGGAUUUUUAAAUGCAAGCAGGAGCUCCAAAGUGUCCUUCUGAAGUCCUGUUCUAGAGCCCUUUAUAAGUAGGGGUUGGACCUCUGGCUUCUAUUUGGACAGAUGAGGAAGACAGCAGGCAAAGUUGGCUUUUGGCCACACUUAUACCUCCC